rnacentral:tRNA from 1 species
GCCACUUUAGCUCAGUUGGUAGAGCAGCUGAUUCGUAAUCAGCAGGUCGUGAGUUCAAGUCUCAUAGGUGGCU